rnacentral:rRNA from 1 species
CUAUGCGCCUUGCCAGCCCGCUCAGGUGUGCCAGCAGCCGCGGUAAUACGUAGGGGCAAGCGUUAUCCGGAUUUACUGGUGUAAGGGAGCGUAGACGGCAGUGCAAGUCUGGAGUGAAAGGCGGGGGCGUCAACCCCCGGACUGCUCUGGAAACUGUACAGCUGGAGUGCAGGAGAGGUAAGUGGAAUUCCUAGUGUAGCGGUGAAAUGCGUAGAUAUUAGGAGGAACACCAGUGGCGAAGGCGGCUUACUGGACUGUAACUGACGUUGAGGCUCGAAAGCGUGGGGAGCAAACAGG